UGUAUAUUCAAAUGUGGAGAGGGAACCUUUGUUUUGUUCCGCAGACCACGUGUUGCCCAGGGAAGCAUUGGCUGGCGCACUUAGAGCCACAUGGGCAUUCAAACUGAAGAAGCUGUAAGAAAUUAAGAUUUAUUCCUCUGGAGUCAAUGCGGCUAAUGAGUUCUGACGGGAUUUUUUGGGGACUUUGCAAGACGUGUCCACAAUAAAUGGCUGUUGAAAACCAA